CAUGCCUGUGGCAAGGAAACAUAUCAGUAGGACACUUUACCAUGACUUCACACCACUUAUUAAUUAUGAUGCACAUACCCUAGCAUGAAGGAAAUCAGGCUAAAGGCCAGGUUCAAAGAACCCACUGUGACAUAGGGGAGAGCGACUUAUAAUCAUGAAAGAAAAGAUGUUCCCACUCUGGAGGUUCAGGAACUUCGAGAACUUAACAGUGGGGGAAUAUACCACAUCCUACAAACUCCUGAUAGAAAGCCCCUUAUUCCCGAUGUAAGUUCAACAAACUAAAAUACAGGGUAGCAGCAGAUAAGGCGGGUCUGGCACAUGGCCAUCAGCAUCAAAGCUGGAGGGAUGGUUGGAAAAUGAAGACUUUUUAAAGAUCUAAGGCAAAAGACAUUGAAUUAUAAAUAAGUUGUACAAUUAAAGUAAGCAAAUAUCCCAGAAACCGAUGAAAACACAUCUUUUUUAUAUACCAGAAGAGGAAGCAUUAAGUAGAAUGAUAUCCACACAUAGCUCUAUAGCGCUUGUAUGCUUGCUGCUCACUACUUCUGGGGGGCAGCUCUUGGAGCGGGACCCAUGCUAAGUCCUGGCUUCUCCACAUGUCCUCUGAACAAGGCUGAAAAUCCGGGGCAGAGCUCUCCUCCAUCCCGUCCCGCAUGCCCAUGUGCAUGUGCACACACACUAGCGCGUACACGAGCACGUACACACACACUAUCAUUACUUCUGUCUAAGAUCAAGGUUAGCCGGAUCAAGUCCUGCACAUGAGAUUUAAUUCUAUUGCUUUCGGAGGGUAUGGAACACCAUCUUCAAGACUCACCUAGGGAGGCUGCAUGGAGAAGGCAGUUCCCAUCCCCAGUAGUUGCCAAAGGAAGCAGCCUCUGGCAGGUAGGGUCCACACUCACCCACCAGUUCAAACGCCCUACAGAAAAAGGAGGAAAAGGAGAGGAGCAGAUUAUCCUUCCCACCCCCUUGCCCUCAAACAACUCCCAACUUGCCUCCACCCAAACUUGGGUAGGAAACCUACCCAGAAUAAAAUCAUCUCUGUUUGUCUUUAUACCUUCGUCACUUACACCUAGUCCAUCAGAAGCUGGAGAGCAUGAUUGGUUAGAUCAGCAGUUGUUACACGGGGACCACUGAUCUCAUCAAUACCCAAGGGACAUUUGGCAGUAUCUGGAAAUAUUUUUGGUUGUCACAAUUGGUAGGGGGGAUGCUACUGGCAUCUAGUGGGUAGAUGCCAGGGAGAUUGCUAAACGUAAUGUAAUGUACCAGGCAGCUCAAACAACAAAGAAUUAUCUGGUCCUAAAUGUCAACAGUGCUAAGAUUGAGCAACUCUGCGUUAGGUGAGGAGGCCAAAGUCACAGGUUGAAAUCUGUGUUGGCUACUUGGUCUGGCUCUGAUUCCUUCACUCUGCUCCGGAGACCAGGGAAUAUUGUGCCAGUGAAUCUCAGCACAAACCCAACAUCAGUAAAAGAAAAACCAAAGCAUGUAGUCCAAGUGUCAUGAAAUUUCCAGAGGAAAGUGUCUAAUAUGUGUCCUGAGAAGAAGCACCUAGCUCGGUGCAUGUUUAUCUGACUGAUUCCUGACUCUGACUGCAGUCAGAUCCCACACUUAGACUGGAAGCUAUUGGUCAAGGCCAGCCCCUCCACGUGGCUGCCUCCAGGUAGAAAGCAGAGGGAAGGGCCUGGGAAAAGAAGCACUCACUGACCUGCCUGUUCCAAGGCAACCAACAUGGACUGUUCAAUAAGGUCUCUCUCUAUGAAGCUGCGAAAGUCUUCGUUGUACACAGUGAGAUCUGGAAGCUGGAAGGCACAGAUGGGCAUUUCCAGGGGGUGCUCACUGCUCCCCCCACCCCCACCAUUGGAGGAGACAUGGGAUCGGGCCAGGGAAACAAUGCUGGAGCUGGCGUGGGAGAUGCCCCUAGACAGGCGUUUUUCUGCAAUGAGAAAUGGAGUUACCUUAGAACAUACACAGCCCAGAGAACUUUCCACUCACAUGGUGAUAGUUACCUCUUGACAAGGGUUACCUCUUCUAGCACACAGGGGCUAACUCUGAAUCUAACUGGCUGCCACAUUUCCCAACCCUUUUUCUCAAGCCAAAUACAAAUGGAGAAAUAUAGAAAGUAGUAUUUUUGCAAGCACUUAUAUUAGCACCAAAUAUAUAUUCCUCUUUCUACCCUUUUUAAGAGAAUUUGCCUGAACUUCUCCCCAUGAUUCUAUCUUCUUUCAAUUCCAUUUCCCAACAUAAUAGGGACUCAUUCAGUUGGCAAUUUGGUCACUGUUUGGUAGGAAAAAGAGGAAAUAAGGGAAGUGGGGCUUUCGUUUGGCUAGACUGAAUCAAAUAAUCACUCUGAUAAUUCUCACUGUUUGGAGAACAUAGGAAAGCAUUUCCAUUAUAGAAAAUUAAUGAUAAAUCACCCGGGAACUUUCUCAUCUACCAUCAAUAUCAUUUACUUACAUUAUUUACUACAACUUUUCUCGAUACUCAUAUUUAUCAGAACUGUAGAGGUACAGUCAUUCUCACUUAACAUGCUA